ACGAACGCUGGCGGCGUGCUUAACACAUGCAAGUCGUACGGUAAGGCCCUUUCGGGGGUACACGAGUGGCGAACGGGUGAGUAACACGUGAGUAACCUGCCCACAACUUUGGGAUAACGCUAGGAAACUGGUGCUAAUACUGGAUAUGUGCUCCUGCUGCAUGGUGGGGGUUGGAAAGCUCCGGCGGUUGUGGAUGGACUCGCGGCCUAUCAGCUUGUUGGUGGGGUAGUGGCCUACCAAGGCGGCGACGGGUAGCCGGCCUGAGAGGGUGACCGGCCACAUUGGGACUGAGAUACGGCCCAGACUCCUACGGGAGGCAGCAGUGGGGAAUAUUGCACAAUGGGCGCAAGCCUGAUGCAGCAACGCCGCGUGCGGGAUAACGGCCUUCGGGUUGUAAACCGCUUUCAGCAGGGACGAAGCUUUUUGUGACGGUACCUGCAGAAGAAGCACCGGCUAACUACGUG
rnacentral:rRNA from 1 species